rnacentral:rRNA from 1 species
GAUGAACGCUGGCGGCGUGCCUAAUACAUGCAAGUCGAGCGAACGGACGAGAAGCUUGCUUCUCUGAUGUUAGCGGCGGGCGGGUGAGUAACACGUGGAUAACCUACCUAUAAGACUGGGAUAGCUUCGGGAAACCGGAGCUAACACCGGAUGAUAUUUUGAACCGCAUGGUUCAAAAGUGAAAGACGGUCUUGCUGUCACUUAUAGCGGGAUCCCCGCUGCAUUAGCUAGUUGGUAAGGUAACGGCUUACCACGGCGACGAUGCAUAGCCGACCUGAGAGGGUGAUCGGCCACACUGGAACUGAGACACGGUCAAGACUCCUACGGGAGGCAGCAGUAGGGAAUCUUCCGCAAUGGGCGAAAGCCUGACGGAGCAACGCGGCGUGAGUGAUGAAGGUCUUCGGAUCGUAAAGCUCUGUUAUUAGGGAAGAACAUAUGUGUAAGUAACUGUGCACAUCUUGACGGUACCUAAUCAGAAAGCCACGGCUAACUACGUG